AUUGAACGCUGGCGGCAUGCCUUACACAUGCAAGUCGAACGGUAACGCAGCAUCGGGUGCCGAUUACUGGCGACCGGGGGCGUACCACAUCGGAAUGCGCCCGAUCCUGCGGUUUCACGGGGGAUAAGCUUGGCUAAUAUCGCCUACGACCGAAUACUGACUGCGGGGGAACGCAAGGCCUUGCCGGGCCGGGCCCGCCGAUGGCAGAUUAGGUAGUUGGAGGGAUAAAAGCGGACCAAGGCGACGAUCUGUAGCUGGUCUGAGAGGAUGAUCAGCCACACUGGAACUGAGACACGGCCCAGACUCCUACGGGAGGCAGCAGUGGGGAAUUUUGGACAAUGGGCGCAAGCCUGAUCCAGCCAUGCCGCGUGCGUGAUGAAGGCCUUCGGGUUGUAAACUCCUUUUGUACGGAACGAAAAGCAUUCUUUUAAUACCGGAGGGUCAUGACGGUACCGAAAGAAUAAGCACCGGCUAACUUCGUG
rnacentral:rRNA from 1 species